rnacentral:tRNA from 1 species
GGGCCUAUAGCACAACAGGAUAGGGCGACCGCCUCCUAAGCGGCUGAUCCCGGUUCGAGUCCGGGUAGGCCCA